rnacentral:ncRNA from 1 species
UAUUUAGCGAUGAAAAGGACAUGAAUUGUUUUUACCUUUCUUUUUCAGAGAAAAGGGCCUUUGGCUGAGAGCCUUUAAGAAAGAAAAACAAUUUACCACCUUUGAGCUUUUGCAGGGAAAUAGAUGAUUAGAGUAUCUGCAAACGGAAUAAACCGUUAUCAAAUCUUUGAGCAUAGAGCCGGUUACGCUCUAUGGAACUUAGGGUGGAACCACGACCGCACUCGUCCCUUGU